rnacentral:rRNA from 1 species
ACGGGGGGUGCAAGCGUUGUUCGGAAUUAUUGGGCGUAAAGAGCGUGUAGGCGGCCGGAUAUGUCAGAUGUGAAAUCCCUGGGCUUAACCCAGGAAGUGCAGUUGAAACUGUCCGGCUAGAGUAGGGGAGAGGGGAGUGGAAUUCCUGGUGUAGGAGUGAAAUUCGUUGAUAUCAGGAGGAACACCGGUGGCGAAGGCGACUUCCUAGCCCUAUACUGACGCUGAGACGCGAGAGCGUGGGGAGCAAACAG